GCUAAUUCUGCCGACCUACAACCGUUCCUGCCUCCGCCGCCGCCAUAGAGACCGGAACUAGGAUUAGAGUCACCACGAGAACCAUAGAGUACCCGAGAGGACGGGCAGAGGGAACUUGACUUUCACGAGGCUGUAGCAUGGGCGGGCGGGCUACACGUCCGCGGUGGUGUCCUGGCCUGAAGAAAGGCACGGCCAAACGCCCGAGCCGGAGUUACCCGGCCAUCCAAGGGCUUGGAAGGGGGCUCGUCGAUACCUUAGCCCCAGGCAUGUAUCACUUCUACAGGACAUCUCAGAACGGGGAGCAGUGUUUCCUAAAUCUAUUAUUCCAAAUAGCACUUUCACAACUACUACCGUAUCCACUAUCCACAGUGACCACAGGAGAGAGGAUUAUCUCCAUUUGACAGAUGAGGAAACAGGCUCAGAGAAGGGAAGUGACUUCUGCUAGGUCACCCAGAGAGGAAAUGGGCUCAAUCCCAUGUCUUCAAGUCUAAGGUUCUCUCUGUUCGACCAAGCUGCCUUCUCUGGGGUGACUCCAAACCAGGAAGAGAAAGACACACUUACCGGAUUCCGUCUUGUUCUGGAUUACAUCUCCCCACACUGUGAGAUCACCACAGGCAACUUGGGCUUAUUGUUGGGGCCUGUGGGAACAUUCUAAGACAGAAAGCACAGCGGAGAUUCAGACACUCACCAAACAUUUACUGAUGUCUGCCAGCCCCUGUGCUAAGGACUGAGGGCUCAGAGACGGACAUGACAACAGUCCAUGUCCUAAGAGAUAGGCACAACGUCUGCAAAGAGUUCGAUCUUCAUUCGGCCAACUUCCUGCAACCGGCGGGAG